rnacentral:lncRNA from 1 species
ACCGUAAUAAAAUACAUUGUACCAGCCCAUGGUUCGUGCUAUUCCUUGAGGAUAGGCUGCUGGUAGAAGACAAGUAAUCAAAGAAGGGAACCUUCCAUUACUAAGAUAUCCCUCCCAAGCUUGGGAGAAAAUACUAUACAAACCAAGCUUGGACACCAGUUGAUCAAAUAAUUCCUUUGGCAGAACCUUUGUCUACAAUUUGCUGCCUUUAAGGAAUGUAACUAAGAUCCACAACUUUUUGGCUCAUCCACUGUAAUGGUAGUCAUCUACUUUAAUAAGACUACACCAGAUUAUA